AUGUUACAGCAGACCUGCUGUGUUUUUGCCAUAAACCAGGCGACAGCGGCUGGAGCAUUCCAGUGCUCAUUUCCAAAGUUGAGCAUGUGUAGCUACUUCGUCAGCCUCAUCAUUCCUGUGGUCUGUGAUCAGUCCAUAAUCCCUCAGUUAUUCUGAAUGCAACAGUUUUACUUCAUAUGUCUACAACAAGUAAAAAGGAAAGAGAAUGGCAAUGAAAUACUGUGUUCUGUAAUCUCAGCAUGGACCAAAUACCAUAUACAAACCAGAGAUGCCUACUCACAAGAUUAAUCCUCCAACAUCUACAAGCUCUUUCAGCUGCAACAUGAACAAGCAGCAAGCUCAGACUCAGAUCUGCUUUGAAUUACUUUGGCAGCAACAGCCCUACGUGUUCAUGCUCCAAAAUGUGGUGUCCCUGCAAUGUGAUGGUACAUCUGAACUGGGAAGGGGAGGGUGUCAUGGUUUUAAGAUGCUUCCUAUUGCUGGAGAAAGACUGUAA
rnacentral:lncRNA from 1 species